UCCCCCCUAUUCCCCCACGACGUCGUGACUACCUCCACUACGAUCCUUCCCCUGCUUAUGGAGAUGACAGUUCCAAGCAUACUCCAACAUCUCUCUCCCUACACGCACAACUAGCCAUGGCCGCGCGGCCACUGCAACCCGUGCGAGCACACCCUGCGAUGCACGAGUGUUGCUCUGCACAACCGCUCGACGGUCGUCCCCCAGAGCUUCCCCAUGAUGCGCGUCGUGAAGCCCCUCGACGAAGACCCUAGGAACACCUGCAGGGGUCGGCCAUCGUGCACAGGUGAGAACCCACUCCUCUCUCUCCCUCGUCCCGCCGGCGUCGUCCCUCCGCUCGCGUGCCCUUUCUCGGCGCGAGCGCGUCCCUGCGCAGCGGAGCUGGGUGGCCGUGCUCCAGCCCCUCCUCCCCUCACCUAGCCCUGAGCGCGGUAGCCUCUUGCAGGCCCCCUCGCGCGGCGCCACCGCCGCGCAGCGCCCAUGCCCCUCGCGGCCAGUCCACAACGGUGCCCCGGCCAACCCCCUGGCCAGCAGCGGCGUAGCGCCCAUCCCAACAGCGAGCAACCGCCAGCCAUGCACGCCGACUCCUUGCUGCCAUUACCCCGCCCCGCGUGACGUCCAACUCCAGCUGGUGUUGCGUCGCCUUGCCGCAUGAUGCGCGUGCCGUCGUGCUCGUGAAGAAAAGCAAACCGUCCGUGUGGCCGUGUGCGAGUAUGUAGGCUAGGAGAAAAGAACGGACGUUGGGCCUCACAAACAUGCAUGUGCAGGCAGCGUUCCUCCAUGAUUUUCCUGCAUGCGUACAGAUUCUAGAGCCAAAACGAAAUUGCCGAUCCCUUGGAUAUCGUAUUUCCCUCCCCAGCCAGGCUGCAUGCCAGAGAAAUAAUCCUUAAGGAUUCUCUGUGCCCCAAAUUUGUGGCCCUAGGUGUGGCUUGUUUCGACCAAUAAAAAUGUGCCACGUCGUUAUUAAUCUGCGAUUAGUUAAAAUAUAUUAACUUUUGCGUUAGACAUCUGAAUUAAUAUGUUUCUAUUGAGUUAGCUUCGUAAUAAUAUCAUGCACACAUUAAACAUAUUAUCUUGUCAUAACGUAUGUUUGUUUUACUUAAUUGUAAGUUGGUCUGUUGGUUAUUAACAUAGCAAUUUAGUUAAAACUAUUUUAUGGUUUUAAGUUACACUUUUAUAAAUAUACGUUAAAAUGAUUAAUACCAACUCAAAUAAGUACUAAUUUAAUUAUUACCAACUUAAACGUUUGGAUUCGAUACUGGUUUAGUAUAAAUAUGUCAUCUAUUUAGUUUUUCUCGCCUGUCGCGCGUGCGGUUCUGCACUCGGUGGCGUGCUGUUUCAAGCGUCGUUCUCUCUAGUCGCGCGUACUGUCUCGUGCGUUGUUUUGCGCAGUGUCGCGCGUCCUCACACGUCAUUCUCAUGUGCCGCACAUGCCAUUUUUCGCGUGCGUCGCGCAUGCCCUUUUCGCGUCGCGCACCUUGUCGUGCGUCACCACGCGUCAUUCGCGCAUGACGCACGCGUCGUUUUUGCGUGUAGUGCACAUUGCCGCACGUUGUUCACGCAUGUCACGCGUGUCCGUGCGUCGUUCGCACGCUGUCGUGCUGUUUCGCGCGUCGUAAAUUUGCCUCACUUAGAUUCUCUCGUUUUAAUUAAAUUAUUUACUUAACUGACAUUGGUUAGUGUAGCAGAUUAAUCGAGCUAAAUGAUAGAUAUUAUUUAUAUUUGAUAACGUCGAAUUAAAUACUAUAGUUAAUACUUGUUUAGCGUAAACGCGCUAACCCCUCGACCGUAGCUCUUACUUUCGUGUUUCUUAUCCUCGCAUAACUGUAGGAGCGCUCUCUAUUUUAUAUUGCUCGCUUUUAUAACAUUUUAUCUUGUAUGGUGUAAUGUUCUUAUGUAUAUGUAUAUAUUUGUUUGCUUGUGCCUGUUCGUCUUCGCUUCGCGUUGCGAUUAGAUCGUGAUUCGUUUCUGAGCUUCGAGGAAUCGACGGUCAAGCUUCAACGACCAAAUGACCCAGUUCUUCGAGUUCCACGAGAUUGAAGACCCUGAGCAUAUGUUUGGUGAAGGCAAGUGUCCCUUGACCUAUCUCUGUCCUAUACAUUCUUUAAUUCACCUCCCGCAUUACACAGUUAUACCUAAGGAUUUACUAGCUUUUGUUAUCCAUGUCCUUGUUUACCUAUCUGGGUUGGAUUAUUAUUGUUUAGCUUUAUGCUAUUGCUCAGCUCUAAUCA
rnacentral:lncRNA from 1 species